UCAAGUUCGAAACUUGUCGCGCUAUAAACGACUCACGCGUUCCAGGCGAGGCGCACAGUUUGGCCGACCGUUCUGCUUGCGACAAGCUGCUGAAAGAUGAACAAGUUUCUGGUUUUUGUCGCCUCUGCGUUGUUGCUGGUGGUAGCCAUAUGCUUAUCACCAGCGAAGGCUGUAGCUGUGGCAUUACCAUUGGCCACCUCACCACCGUACACUACAACACCAUGGACCACCACACCUCGGACCGCCACACCAUCAUCGUCGGGAGACUAACUAAUGGCUGCUGCAGCAGUGUCAUUCACCUGCGUUUCAUCACUCUGGUGACCAGAACUACGUUUCUGAAGGCCACAUUCUUGUUGGAUAGGCAAUACGAUGUAUUUGUACAAAUUGCUUAUUGUUUACAAUAAAUAAUUACAAAUCAAAGUUA